CAACGUCAACUAAGUCAUUCAAUUUUCAUUACAUUCUUUUACUAUGUACCAUCUCCCUAUUUUACAUGCUAUCACUUUACUGUCUACUCCACAUAUAUCUGAGAUUUACAUAACAACAUGUUAUCAAGUCAUAGAUAUCAAUCAUCACAAUCACAAAAUCCUUACAGUUUUCAAAAGUUUCAAUCCCCUCAUCCUUAUCAACAACUGCACAAAUACGAGUAUAAUGGGUACGUCCAUAAGUAACAUGUAUAGCUGAUAAUAAGUCCUCGAUAAUCUAGGCAUGUCUGGUUGUCCAAAUGAUUUUAGUUUCUUGCGGAGCCAUCUACAGUACAAAAUAUAAAACUUGAACAAUAAAAGUUCAGUAAAUAUGAUGAUGCAAUGAUGUAUAUCAAGCAUAUUGGGCCCGAAUCCUUAUUAUAGUAUACCCUAUGAGCUCAAAAUAACAUGGUUAUUACUUGUGCGCAAAUCAAUGUCAGUGCAUCCGUCAUUGCCCACCAAGACUCAAGAUGUCACAUCAAUAUAUAACAUAUAUAAAGCAAGGCUUGACCUAAGUAUACAGUGCUCGAUGUGCCUAUCUGCAAUCCCUAGGCCACCAAGGGACCACCUGGCAUUGCCUAUAUACAGGUGUCGAACUCUAAAUACCCUAUCCUUGGCUAUAUUUAAUGAUCAUCAAGAGCCUCGAAGUAGUAUAUUUAUUUGGACACAAUAGUACCGUACAUCUAUAAUGUAAGUCACAUUCAAAAUUUUUAAACAAACUCAAUACAAAUGACAACAAAAGUAUGCGUGACUGUAAGAACGUAAUUAUCCAUAAGUUUUCCAAAUAAACUUAAUGCACUCGUGUCACACUUCCAUGUCACAUAGUAAAAAAAACAAACAAACAAACAAACAAACAAACACAUAAUUUCACAUAUUAAUGUAUCUUGUAUUGUAGUUGAAAAACAUCAAUAUUUACCUUUAUUACGACUUUCUUGAUCAAUAUCGCAUUAAUAAAAUAAUCUCUACAUUAAUCAUAUUAUAACAUCUUAUCUCUCAAUUAACAAGUCUAAACUAGGUAUUUAAGAUAAUAGAAUAUUCUUAAUAAAGGACCCGAGUAAUAACACUAAUAAUAAUACUACUUUUACCACUACUACUAAUAAUAAUUAUAAAUAUAAACGGAGUUCCCAUUACUUGUUAUAUAAAAAUUUAUAUUGCCAUUUAAUUCCUUAUCCAUCAAUGUUAGGUCAACUUCAAAAUAUCAUAAAACAAUUCCUAUGGCUUCCACAUAUGGGAAAAUCUCUCUCUCUCUCUCUCUCUCUCUCUCUCUCUCUCUCUCUCUCUCUCUCUCUCUCUCUCUCUCACAAUAAUCCUAAGCAUAAAAGAAAUCCAUUGCUAUUUAAGCAGCAGUUGUCGUACUAAAAACAAGUGCAGAGAUGAUCAACAUGAUUCUCCAUUAAUUACUCAAAAUCCAACAAAAAUCUUCUUUUACAAAAUCCUUCCAGGAAUCAAAGAUAGGAUUUCUUUUACUUAUUCAUAAAUCUCUUUUUAUCUUGACCAAGUUUCCCCCCAAACAAUCUUCUAUAUAAUCUUUAAUAGUACCAUUUAAAUAAAAUAAAACUCAUUAUAAUUCAUCAUUGUUGAUUUCAUUAAUCUUAAAUUUAACUCUCAUUUUAUCUUCCUCAAAAUUAUUAAAAAUAAAUAAAUAAAUAAUAUCAGAAAUUAAGAAUUUUAACUCAUAUAAAUAAACCAAUUAAAUACAUAAAUAAUUAAUUAACUAAACAAAAGAAGAAGGAAAGAACUUACCCCGAAAGGGAAAGGCGUGU
rnacentral:lncRNA from 1 species